rnacentral:rRNA from 1 species
CGCUGGCGGCGCGCCUAACACAUGCAANUCGAGCGAGAACCGGAGCUUCGGCUCCGGGGACAGCGGCGAACGGGUGAGUAACACGUGGAUAACCUGCCCUCGGCACCGGAAUAGCCCGGGGAAACCCGGAUUAAUGCCGGAUGGCCCCACAUCCCUGCGGGGAACGUGGGAAAAGGUAGCUUCGGCCUCUGGCCGAGGAUGGGUCCGCGGUGGAUUAGCUUGUUGGUGGGGUAAUGGCCCACCAAGGCGACGAUCCAUAGCUGGUCUGAGAGGACGAUCAGCCACACUGGGACUGAGACACGGCCCAGACUCCUACGGGAGGCAGCAGUGGGGAAUCUUGCGCAAUGGGCGAAAGCCUGACGCAGCGACGCCGCGUGCGGGAAGAAGGCCUUAGGGUUGUAAACCGCUUUCAGGAGGGACGAAGCCACUCGGGUGAAUAGCCCAGAGGGUGACGGUACCUCCAGAAGAAGCCCCGGCUAACUACGUGCCAGCAGCCGCGGUAAUACGUAGGGGGCAAGCGUUGUCCGGAUUCAUUGGGCGUAAAGAGCGUGUAGGCGGCCAGGUAGGUCGGUUGUGAAAACUGGAGGCUCAACCUUCAGAGGUCG